AGCUGCCUGGCUGGAGGAGGUGUCACUCUGGGUGGAUCCUAGGGUCAAGCCCUAAGAUGUUACUGGAGUUGGAUCCGAAUUCCAGCCUAAGGUUUUUGGAUGAAAAUCUACUGAGGCUUCUAGAGAAAGACACAUAAGAGUACAGCCUUGCCUGGAAAGUGGCCUCCCCAGUGGAGAUCUCAUGGCCAAAGGGGCACAGCUGGAGACCUGGCAGAGGGAGGCCCAGGAAGGGCAGACGCAGAAAUAUGAGAAGCAUGUGCGGCACGGAGCGAGCAGCAGUCCUCAUCCUCUGGUCCAUCGACCCCCUGGACAGACUUCAGAUAAAUUACACAGCUGCCCACAGGCUCUGUGGUGGGAAGCUUGUUUUUCUUCUUUCCGACCAAAGCAGGUUUGCUGACAGAUUAGGGAGCAGGGGGGCUGGUUGAGGGGGAGGUCACCCAGGAACACAGAGCUGUGGGAAGCACGGCAUCGCCCUAAUGAGGCACCGCCGUUCCUGGCCAGGCCCAGGAGGAGCCCCCGCCGCUGGCCUGAGCUGCAGAGAGGGAGUUCCCAUCUGCUUCCCAGGAAUACCUCCCCACAAGGGCAGAGUUACCAUCCCAUUGCAUACCCGAGGCAGAAGGGCAGUGGUUUUCAGGGCCCUGGGCUCCUUCCUGCCCACCUCCGGUUCAGGGUCAUUUCCUCCUAGUAACUGGCCCAUACCAUGAAAUUCUCUGUUUUCACCGUGUUUGGCCACACAGCUCCAGGGUAGCAGGAACAUUCACAGGGUCUGUCACUGCCACCUUGUGGGUUGUUUGACACCCCACCCCUUUUUUUGAGACAAGGUCCUAUUAUAUAGCCCUGGCUGGCCUGCAACACUAUGUAGACCAGGCUCUAUUCUUGACUUUUCAGGGAUCUGGCAUAAAGUCAGUGCUCAGUGAAUGUGUAUAAUAAUGCCACCCGCAGUGGGCAAAGGAGUGUGAGGCCGUCAGCCCAGGACAGCUGGACUCUGCUGGCCUCAGAGGUGGGGGUGGGAGCAAAGCUAUGGCUGUGCAGGAGCGGAGCCCUGGCUCCUCGGGGGGCCUUCACUGGCAGAUGUGGCCGCUUGUGGGCCAGGCUCCCACACAGAGGUCUAUUUUCUUUUUUCCUCUUUUGUUAUUCAUUUAUUUUUUAUUGAAAACUGCCAUAAUUGUAGACAAUAACCUAUGGUAAUUUCCUCCCUC